rnacentral:lncRNA from 1 species
GGGGUCAAACCAAGGAGGCACAUGUAGCUAUUGGUGAAUGCUGCGUUGAGGCGAAGGCGAUGAUAAAGAGUCUCAAGGUGAUGGGGAAGGUGAUGCGGAGGUAUUGUUUUUUAAGUCAAGGUCUAUGGAGCGGAGAUAGAGCCAAUAGAACAUAUU